rnacentral:tRNA from 1 species
ACCAAUUACCUGUAGUUGGUAUCGCAUUGGCCUAGAAUGCCGAAGACGCUGGUUCGAAUCCAGCCGGUG